AUAGAAUGAAAGUAUAAAAACAAGAUUGGCUUACUAUGGGAACACAGACAGUUCAUCUAGAAAAAUGGUCCAGAAGGUAAAGCAUACGGUGCAGAUGCCGUAAGUGGAUGGAUUUGGUGGUGGGAAUUUGAGGAAGCCCUCUUCAGAUUGCUUCAUUUUCCCAGUGAUACAGGAAGAAAGAAAAUGGCCAGCAAAGGAUAACCAGACACUUGAAAUGUCCUCUAAUCGACAGAGAGAAAAUGAAACUAGUAUAAAUAAGGGACCUGGGUUAUGCAGAAAUGACUCCAGGAGCAAAGGAAAGAUCUACAUCUUUAUCUGGAUCUGUAUCAGCGUCUUUAGUAGAAUGAAAGGAGAUAUUUCACCUGCCUGGACUGUGAAUUGCAAAAGGAACAACAUUCCACACAAAAGAAUUGUCCAAGAACAAGGAAAGAACUUUUAGAAAUUAAAGUAUUUGAAGUCCU
rnacentral:lncRNA from 1 species